AUUGAUAGGUGUCAACAGCUUUGUGGCGGAAUGAACACUACUCAGUUCCACCAGACAACUCCAAUGCUUCAAAGGAAAACAUCGGUCGUGGUGGCCAAGUAAUGCCCAUAUCCACCUCAAGUGAAAACAGCUGUGUUGACAAAGUGAUGAUAUAAUCCAAUUCCCCCUGUAACAUCUGCAAUCCAGACCCAGAAUCAUGUCAAAGAAUGCUAUGACAAAUAUAAUCUAUCUAAUAAUAGGGUUUGUGUUUUGUUUUUCCUGCUAAAUGCAUUUUGUCCAGUGAACCAUCUAAGACUUUUCUCUUUGUAUUUGUUUGUUUGUUUGUUUUUUGUUUGUUUGUUUGGUCUUAAAGUUGUUGAUUUCAACCUCCUGGUUUCCAUAGUCCCAAGACCAUGGGACAAUAUCUUUGGAUAAUUCCUCUAUGCCAGUUCCUUGAACUCUGAGAUGAGAAAUGUCCUUGAGUGGAUCCAAUCACAGCAUUGCCUUUUUCUCCAGAAGUGCCUUCUCAGCUGCAGAGAUAGCUCAGGCAGCUGCACAGGUCGUAUGUGACCUGGUGUCUCAGGGCCAGGGAGUAAAAUCAGUGGUGUACGUACACUGUAGAACUUGGCUAACAGCUCUCUUCCCUGGGAUUCUGUUGAGAUUCCCAGAACUUUGGUGAAGUGUGUGUGUGACUAUGUGUGUGUGUGUGUGUGUGUGUAUGUGUGUCUGGCACUGAGGCAAUGUAAACCUAGAGGCUGGGUGAUGACCCUGUGCAGAGAGCAGCAAAGGAAGCCUGUCUGCAGUUGAGAACAGUGAAACAUGUAAGGAAGGAGAAGCAGAGAAGAUGAGGCAGAGAGUGCUGGGUUACUGGUAGCUUUGCAGCUCUUGCCUCAGUCCACAGGCACAGUCCUGCAAUCUCCACAAACUUCCUUCUGGUUUCUUCAUCUCCUUCAAUCUUCCACAGUAAAACAUCGACCUUUUGUUUCACUAUGUUUUCAACUUCGACUUCCCUUUUCUAGUUUAAACUUUUCCCAUCUCUGUAUUUUUUCUAAUUAUACCUAGGAGUCAUCCCCCAUAGCACAUGUAUUGGACACAAAGUACUUAUGGUUGCAAAAAAAAAAAAAAAAAAAAAGG